CUUCAUACUGUCAAGGGAGAUCUAAGGAGAAUGCCUUUUGUACUUGGGGGGAAAAUUGCUCCCACUUCUGGUUUUCCUAGUCAAGAGUUCAAGAUAUAAGGCAGUACUACACUAUUCUGGAUGACAACAACAGAGCUGUUACACAUCGUAUACAGGAUUACAUCCAUGGACUAUUUUGUUGUGGACAUUCUGUGUUUAUGGACCAUCAGUGAACUUGUGUGUACUUUUGACCAUUGUUUGCCUCGCCAUCUGAAUGUAAUUGGAUGUUUAUUUGUGCUGAUUAGUACAACAUACCCUGAUUACCAAUAUUAUCUUGUGGAGAAUGUCACUGUUUCAUGCUACUGUUUGUGAAGUGAGGCUGUAAUGUAAUAAACAUAUUUGGCCUAAACAGCUUUUA